rnacentral:rRNA from 1 species
AGUGAACGCUGGCGGUAGGCCUAACACAUGCAAGUCGAACGGCAGCACAGUAAGAGCUUGCUCUUACGGGUGGCGAGUGGCGGACGGGUGAGGAAUACAUCGGAAUCUACUUUUUCGUGGGGGAUAACGUAGGGAAACUUACGCUAAUACCGCAUACGACCUACGGGUGAAAGCAGGGGAUCUUCGGACCUUGCGCGAUUGAAUGAGCCGAUGUCGGAUUAGCUAGUUGGCGGGGUAAAGGCCCACCAAGGCGACGAUCCGUAGCUGGUCUGAGAGGAUGAUAAGCCACACUGGAACUGAGACACGGUCCAGACUCCUACGGGAGGCAGCAGUGGGGAAUAUUGGACAAUGGGCGCAAGCCUGAUCCAGCCAUACCGCGUGGGUGAAGGAGGCCUUCGGGUUGUAAAGCCCUUUUGUUGGGAAAGAAAAGCAGCAGGUUAAUACCCCGCUGUUCUGACGGUACCCAAAGAAUAAGCACCGGCUAACUUCGUG